AUUUUUUUUUUUUUUUUUCUUUUGUGGCCUAUAAGAGCAGGUUAUUUGGAGAUGGGGUACUGAUUACUAGGUACUCUGAAGAGAAAUAUUUUGGUCUUUUAAAAUAGGGGUAAUUAAGUAAUUGUGCCUCCGCUCUCUCUUUCUCCAUUAUUUCUCUCCUCUCUCCGUGUCCCCUUUCUUUCUCUAUUUUUCCUCUCCAUUCUACUAUUAGGAUUUAGUUAUAUUUGUAGUUGAAUCCUAAUUGGAUUAUAAUUAAUAUUUAAAUCUGUUUGAGAUAAAUUAAGAUUUAAUAUGAAUCUAACAUAUUAGGAUAAAUAUUGAAAUUUAUUGGAGAUAAAUCAAAUAUAGAUUUAAAUGUUAUUUGGAGUAGGAAUCCUAAUUGGAUUAGGAUUCAGGUACGUUUUGAUAUAAGCUUCAUAAAUAGCUCCAUUGGUGGAGAGCUUAAAGAGUUGUACGGUGAAGUUGAGACUCUUGAGGAGGGUACGAUGAAAUGUCUUGAAGCCAUUAGUGGGCCGUACCAAAGAGAAGCUUGGCCAUGAGUUGUAUGCACCUAGUACACGGGUGGAUGUGAGAGAGAUAAGAGAGUUGUCAUUUAGUUGUCUUUUAGGUUUAUAAAAAACGAGAGAAGGGUAGGAGAGAUUCAAAAAGAGGGUUCGGGAUUGUAGCUACUCUAUACAGAAGAGGAGUCAUUUGUAAUCUUCUCUUAUUUAAUGAAUCUUAUUUUACACGCAAAUUUUCUUUUUUGGUUUUUCUCUCUUCUGUGAUUGUAUCAAUUUUUGCUGAGGAGACAGGUUUAUGGUAAAAAUCUGAUUCGACGCUUCCGUUGCGGAAUCACAACAAUUAGUAUUUGAUCAACAACAGUUGGUAUCGGAGCGGGUUGCAGAUUCACAAAAUCUAGUACCGGGGCGAGUACCGGAUUCCCAACAAUUGGUAUUAGAGUUUAAGGCUACCGAUCUGCGGGAGAGAUCGACGAAGAUUGCUACAAAAUUCAAAAUCGAGAAGUUCGACGACAAGAAUAAUUUCAGAUUGUAGUAGAUUAAAGUACAGACGAUCCUCGUACAACAAGAGUUUAAUGAGACGUUGAACGGGAAGGAGGCGAAGCCGGCGGAGGUCACGAAUGCGACAUAGAUGAAGAUAGAACAGAAGGCGUUGAGCACGCUUCAUCUGUCAUUAGCAGAUGAGGUUCUUUACAACGUAGCCAGCGAGACGACACCAGCGAAGUUGUGGAAGAAAUUAAAAGAUCUGUAUAUGACCAAAUUCUUGAGGAACAGGUUGUAUCUGAAGCAGUGACUGUUUACGCUGCGGAUGUAGGAAGCGGCGAGCCUUCAUGAGCAUCUUAACGAGUUCAAUAAGGUGGUGGCCCAGUUGACUAGCAUCGGAGUCAAUCUGGAUGGUAAGGAUAAGGUGCUGAUUUUACUAUCUUCACUACCGGCGACAUAUGAGUAUCUGGUGAUCACAUUGCUUUAUAGCAAGGAGACCAUAAGCGUGGAGGUGGUCAUGGCGGCAUUUCUCUUGAACGAGAUACGGAAGAUGACUCAGGAGUUCAGCACGCAAAGUCAGGAUGUAAGGCUGGUGGUGAGAGCGAAAAAAGAGGCGACAACAUCGGCGACCGGAUAUCGACAGAAGAAGCCGCUAUCUGAGGUCGAGUGCUUUUACUGUCAUAGGAAAUGGCAUAUUAAGCGCAAUUGUCGAAAACUUCAGGAUAAUCUGAAGGAGUUAAAGCGACAGAAGGAGAAAACUAUUGUGAAACAGGAUGAGACGGUAUCAGCGACGGCGUAGGCGACAGAGUCGAAGACGAUCGAUUCUGAUGUGCUGUAUGCGGCGACCGGAUGUGCUAAAAUUUCGGAUGACUCGUGGGUGCUUGAUUCGGCGUGUUCUUUUCACGUAUACCAGGAAAAGGAGUCUUUUGUCAUCUAUAAAGCGAUCAAGGGUGGAAAAGCUCUGAUGGGGAACGGAACAGCUUGCACACUUUUAGAAAUCGGCACGGUGAAGAUCCGAAUGCACGAUAGGGUCGUGAGGAUGCUGACAAGUGUGCGACAUGUUCCUAAUUUGAAGCGAAAUUUGAUCUCGUUAGGGACAUUGGACUCGAAGGGUUGCGAUUUUUCAGCUUCAGAUGGAGCUAUGAGGGUCCGAAAGAGAGAUCAGGUCGUGUGCGAGGCAAACAAACGCGGUAACUUAUACGUUCUGAACGGGAGUACAGUCGAAACGGGAGCGAAAAUGGUUUAGGUUCCAAAAGUUUACGGAGGUGCAGUCGCUCGAGGCAGAACGACGAAUGCGGCGACAUAGAGUGGAGACAAGCUCAAGAUGGAGCUUGCAUGGUGAGCUCGACGCAAGGGUUGAAAACUAUAAAUCCAACUAAGGUGGAGAAUGUUAGGAUUUGGUUAGAUUUGUAAUUGAAUCCUAUUAGGAUUAAUAUUUAAAUCUGUUAAAGAUAAAUUAAGAUUUAAAUAUUAAUUAGAGUAUGAAUCUAACUAGAUUAGGAUAAAUAUUUAAAUAUAUUAGAGAUAAAUCAAAUAUAGAUUUAAAUAUUAUUUGGAGUAGGAAUUUUAGUUGGAUUAGGAUUCGGGUAUAUUUUGAUGUAAACUUUAUAAAUAGCUCCAUUGGUGGAGAGCUUGAGGAGGGUAUAGUGAGGUGUCUUGAAGCCAUUGGUGGACCGUACCAAAGAGAAGGUUGGCCAUGAGUUGCAUGCACCUAGUGCAUGAGUGCAAGUGAGAGAGAAAGAGAGUUGUCUUUUAGGUUUAUAAAAGACGAGAGAAGAAUAAGAGAGAUUCACAAAGAGGGCUCGGGAUUGUAGCCACUCAGAAGAGAAGUCAGGUGUAAUCUUCUUUUAUUUAAUGAAUCGUAUUUUACCCGCAUUUUUUUUUUAGUUUUUCUCUCUUUUGUAAUUGUAUCAGUUUUUGCUGUGGAGACGGAUUUAAGAUAAAAACCCGAUUCGUUGCGGAAUCACAACAAUUGGUACCGCAUCAACAACAGUCGGUAUCAGAGCGGUUUACGGAUUCACAAAAUCCGAUACCGAGGCGAGUACCGGAUUCCCAACAUCUACAUAAUCACUGCCUCUCCAUUUCCCCAUUUUCUCAUUUCCUCUCUCUUUUCUCUCCGUUUAACCAAAAAUUAAAAAAAUAAAAUAAAAUAAAAAAAUCUCUGGAGGACAAUCCAAAUAGCAUUCUAAAAGGUGAUACAAUAUUGGGGCACCUCUGCAGCGUCGGCGCAGUCAAGGCCUUCUAGAGGAUUCUUUACGAGGGCUCCGGUCCGGUGGAGGCUUCAAAAUUAAUGUCUAAAUUAAUAAAGCUCUAAAAUUCCUUUUAUAUAUGAGCAAUGCUCUUAUGCACCGAACAAAUCUCAAUCAUUACGAUAGACCUAUAAAAAGAGGGUUGGCACUUGAGGGUAUAGGUACUGGUCACCACUUUAAUAAGGGCAAAAUUUUUUUUUAUUACAUGGAGUUUGCAAUAAGGGCAUUUUGGUAAAUUUUCAUCCUCGUAACAUGUCAUUUUUGUAAAUUUAGAAUAUUCCACCUUCCUUCAUUCUUAUCCUCUAAUAUUCCAUCGUUGUAUUAUUAUCUUUCCUAAAUUAAACCUCAUGUCUUUAAACCAUAGUUAGUUAAUUCGAGUACGAUAAAAAUUCGAUACGGAUAAAAUACGAAUAAAAUUCGUAACUUAAUUUUUAAGUUCGUUGAAAAAUACGGUUUAAAAAUUAGAUUCGCCAAUAAUUUGUAUACGCGAUUUAUACGAAAAUUUUACGUUUAUCAUUUAAAAAUUCGGAAUAAAAAUUCGUUUAUUUAAUUGAAAUUUUUUUAGAUUUAUGCUAUUAUCAUGCAUAAAUAAUUAUAAUUCUUAUAAAAUAUAAAAAUAAAAUUGGAUAUAUAUAUAUAUAUAUAUAUAUAUAUAUAUAUAUAUACACACACACACAAAAACAAUCAUGAGAAAAUAAAACUAUCGGAUUCAUUAAUUCCCACACUAUCACAAAUCCUCAAAGGGGAAUGAAGAGAUAGAACUAGUUAUAUAGAACGGUUAUGUAUUUGAUUUAUUUUUUGCAACUUAUUCUAGUUUAAUUAUAAAGUAAUUUUAGCUGGGUUUGCUGAACCAUUGACAAAUUCUACAUCCUUUUAUUAGUAACACCUACUGUGCAAGCUUACCUGUUUGGAUGAAAGGAAACAUAAUAACAGUGACAAAGAAUNCAUUGGAUCUACUCCUUGAUUACUAAUAGCCCUUGGAUCAAACACUAUUCCACCUACCACCACCGACCAUCAUCAUCUCAACCUCAUAUCUCUCUAUCCAAUGGCUAAAAUCUCAAAAGCACCACUCACAUAAUACUUUUACAAGUAUUCUAGCUUAACUCUAUAUAUAUAUAGAGCGAGAGGUCCACCGUGGACCUCUCACUCCACACAGUCCACGAGGCUGAGUGCAGCCUUAUGGACCGCAAUAUUUUCCUACACGUAGGCCGCAAUUUCUUCUUCCUCUAAUAUUUUUAAACUUUUUAAAUUAAUUGUUUUUGCUAUCGAACGAACAAUUUAAAUUAAUUUUAAAAAUAAAAGCCUUUAAUUUAAAUAAAAAAUAAAAGUUAUAUUUAUAAAUACAGCAUAAUUUAUAAUUUAAAUUAAAUUAUAUAUAUUUGAAAUUUCGUGUCAUUUUAAUAUAUCAAAUUAAACAAUUUGAAUUGAAAUAUACUAUUCAUUUAAACAUAAAUUUUUUCAUUCUGAAAUAAAAAUAAAAAUUAAAUUUGAAUUUAAUGACACAAUUAUAAAGUUUAAGCUCAAAUUGAAUUUUAAAUUCAAUUUAUAAAGGUUAUUACUUAUCAAAUUAGCACUAUCUAAUUUGGAAAGUAACAAAAUUAAACAAGGAAACAAAUAUUUGUAUAAAGUUGAUCAAAUUUGGUAAUUAGUUUGUAUUUUUUUCCCAUAUUAUCCUUACAAAUGGUAACCUGUUGAGCAGGUAACCACUAUGCAAAAGUCAAUCUUUUCCCUUAAAAUAUGAACGAUUAGAUUUAUUUUAUAUGGUGUAUUGAAGCAUUCCUCUAUAUAAUAUAUAUAUAUAUAUAUAUGAGAGAGAGAGAGAGAGAGAGAGAGAGAGAGAGAAGAGAGAGAGAGGAGAGAGAGAGAGCUAGCUGAUAUACUAUCGGUAGCACGUAUAUAUAUAUAUAUAUAUAUAUAUAUAGAGAGAGAGAGAGAGAGAGAGAGAGAGAGAGAGAGAGAGAGAGAGAGAGAGAGAGAGCUAGGCUGAUAUACUAUCGGUAGCACGAAGAUUUCCGUGCUACCAAGUUGUUUUCAAUGAUACGGCUUUUAAAUCGACAAUCGGCUUUGUUGGACUUGAUCUACACUAUUAAAAAUAUUUGGAAACUAAAUUUCAUAAUUUUUCGACAUCAUUUGACUAAUAAUAAAAAAGCUUCAAAAUUGACAAUUUUAAUGGUAGAUGUGAUGCGUUUGUGAAUUUAAUGAUGUAAAACAAUCCAAAUCUGAUGAAAGUUUUAUAGAAAAUUCUUUUUACUAUUUAGAGUAAGAUCAAUACUUCUGAUCUUAAAUUCAAGUCUUUUAUCAUUAUUUUUUAAGAGAUUUUUAUUUUCAGCUGUUCAUUUUAGACUACUUGUUUGAUAGGUAGAUGAUGCUGAAAAAUUAUGAAAUUUAGUUUUCAAACAUUUUCAAUAGUGUGGAUUAAGUCUAACGGAGCCGAUCGUCGAUUUAGAAGCCGCAUCAUUGAAAAUACAAAGAGGAUCGUACUCAUAAGAGUAUAGUAGCCGGACUCGAUAACUUGUUGGUCGUGAGCUAGCUCAAUAUUAUUCUUUAUUAAUCAAUAAU
rnacentral:lncRNA from 1 species